CUUUCCACUCUCUGCUUCUCCAUUCUCUAUCCAUCUCGUCUCUCUCGAAUAUCCAUCACGGCAACAACAAUGAAGAUCGCCGGCAAGUAGCUUCCCAUUCCUCAUCUCCGCGAAUAGCGUAGAAAGUGAAGAUAUGGCAGCAGCUUCUCACCACGUAAUGAAGAUCCACGGUAGCAUCAGCGGAGCAGCACGGUGGCGUCAUCGGCGAGCAGCGAUGGUUGAUCCGGAGGCGCAAUGACGGCAAGCGUGGGCUGUGGUGGUAUCUCGCAGCUGCAACGAUCUCCAGCGAAGCUUCCACGGCAGCCAUGGUGUCGGUAGUGGUUGACGGCGGUUUGAGCAGCAAGCUCUGUUUCCGGCGUCGUGCAGCGGUGGAGGUGGCGGCACUCCCUCUUCCGUGCGGCUAGCAGCAGAGCGGUGGCCUACGUCUCCGAUCUUCUUCCGGCAGUACAUGGCUGUGACAAUGGAGUUUGACAGUGGCGGAUGGCCUUGUGUUGUUGUUGGCGUAACAUAGUAGAAAGGAAGGGUGUAGCGUGGUGGUAUGGUGUCAUAGUGUUGAGUUAGAGGGCUUAGGUUCGAAUCCUUGGCUAAGCAUCAUGAUUAAGGUUCAUGAUUAUGGACCUAGCUUGUGAGAUGAGCUUAGGAUUGGUGUUGCUUUGGAUUAGUACGCUUCAAGAGGAAUGCAAUAAGUCUAAGCGAGAGCGCGCUAGAGCUUAU